rnacentral:tRNA from 1 species
GGGAAUAGCUCAGUUGGUAGAGCAUCAGCCUUGCAAGCUGAGGGUCGCGAGUUCGAGUCUCGUUUCCC